rnacentral:rRNA from 1 species
UAGAUGCGAGAGUAGAGCAUAUCAAUAAGCGGAGGAAAAGAAACUAACAAGGAUUCCCCUAGUAACGGCGAGUGAAGCGGGAAGAGCUCAAAUUUGAAAUCUUCAAGGGUUUCCCUUGACGAAUUGUAGUUUAAAGAAGUGUUUUCUGUUAGAGAGGUGGUAAAAGUUCUUUGGAAUAGGACAUCACAGAGGGUGAGAAUCCCGUAUUUGACCGUUACUUUCCAGCUGUGUGAUACACUUUCAAAGAGUCGGAUUGUUUGGGAAUGCAGUCCAAGAUGGGUGGUAAAUUUCAUCUAAAGCUAAAUAUUGGCGAGAGACCGAUAGCGAACAAGUACCGUGAGGGAAAGAUGGAAAGAACUUUGAAAAGAGAGUUAAACAGUACGUGAAAUUGUCAAAAGGGAAGCGUUUGACACCAGUGUUGUUUAGUUGAAAAUCAAUUCAAUAGUUUUUGAUUCUAAGUAGUAUUGACUUCAUCAGCUUGCUGCUUUCUUCUCAGAAAUUAUUGAAUGCACUUUUCAGUUAACAAGUCAACAUCAAUUUCUUUUGUUGUAAAAGGGUAAGAGGAAGGUGGCUUGCGCUUCGGCUCAAGUGUUUAUAGCCUUUUAUCUCUGCAAUCGGAGAGAUUGAGGUCUGCAGCGUAGAUCCUUCGGGGUUAGAUACAUUGGUGCUAAGCUAUAGCCUUGUAUAGACAACUUGUUGACUAUGCUCAGUCAUGUAGCUUACUCGCUGAUGCCUAUUUUACCUACGCUUAGGAUGUUGACGAGACUGUCGAUCUC